ACGGGAGGCAGCAGUAAGGAAUCUUGCACAAUGGGGGAAACCCUGAUGCAGCGACGCCGCGUGAACGAUGAAGGCCUUCGGGUUGUAAAGUUCUGAUCUAAGGGAAGAAACAAAUGACGGUACCUUAGGAGAAAGCCCCGGCUAACUACGUGCCAGCAGCCGCGGUAAUACGUAGGGGGCAAGCGUUAUCCGGAAUUAUUGGGCGUAAAGAGUGCGUAGGUGGUUACCUAAGCGCAAGGUUUAAUCCUGAGGCUUAACCUCAUUCUGCCUUGCGAACUGGGCUACUUGAGUGCAGGAGGGGAAAGCGGAAUUCCUAGUGUAGCGGUGAAAUGCGUAGAUAUUAGGAAGAACACCGGUGGCGAAGGCGGCUUUCUGGACUGUAACUGACACUGAGGCACGAAAGCGUGGGGAGCAAACAGGAUUAGAUACCCUGGUA
rnacentral:rRNA from 1 species